CCUACGGGCGGCAGCAGUGGGGAAUAUUGGACAAUGGGGGCAACCCUGAUCCAGCCAUGCCGCGUGUGUGAAGAAGGCCCUCGGGUUGUAAAGCACUUUCAGUGAGGAAGAACGCCUGGUGGUUAAUACCCAUCAGGAAAGACAUCACUCACAGAAGAAGCACCGGCUAACUCCGUGCCAGCAGCCGCGGUAAUACGGAGGGUGCGAGCGUUAAUCGGAAUUACUGGGCGUAAAGCGCGCGUAGGUGGCUUGAUAAGCCGGUUGUGAAAGCCCCGGGCUCAACCUGGGAACGGCAUCCGGAACUGUCAAGCUAGAGUGCAGGAGAGGAAGGUAGAAUUCCCGGUGUAGCGGUGAAAUGCGUAGAGAUCGGGAGGAAUACCAGUGGCGAAGGCGGCCUUCCGGACUGACACUGACACUGAGGUGCGAAAGCGUGGGUAGCAAACAGGAUUAGAUACCCCGGUAGUC
rnacentral:rRNA from 1 species